GCCGGGCGUGGUGGCUCACGCCUGUAAUCUCAACACUUUGGGAGGCCGAGGCAGGUGGAUCACCUGAGGUCAGGAGUUUGAGACCAGCCUGACCAAUAUGGUGAAACCCCGUCUCUA
rnacentral:SRP_RNA from 1 species